AUGAACGCUGGCGGCGUGUCUAAGGCAUGCAAGUCGAACGGAUAUAUUCCGCAAGGAAUAUAUUAGUGGCAAACGGGUGAGUAACACAUUGGUAACCUACCUCGAAGACGGGCACAACUCCGCGAAAGCGGAGCUAAUUCCCGAUGGUCAUGGGGGGACACAAGUCAUUCCCAUGUAAAUCCCAAAAGGAGCUUCGAGAGGGGCCUAUGUCCUAUCAGCUAGUUGGUGAGGUAACGGCUCACCAAGGCAACGACGGGUAGCAGGCGUGAGAGCGUGACCUGCCUCACUGGGACUGAGACACUGCCCAGACACCUACGGGUGGCUGCAGUCAAGAAUAUUCCCCAAUGGACGAAAGUCUGAGGGAGCGACGCCGCGUGCAGGAUGAAGGCCUUCGGGUUGUAAACUGCUUUUUUCAGGGACGAAUUCUGACGGUACCUGAAGAAUAAGAGGUUGCUAACUCUGU
rnacentral:rRNA from 1 species